UAUCGUUCGUUCUUUUUGGCCAGCGGAAUCAACUUGGUUCCUGGACGAAGAUUUACUUUUCGGAACGGACUUCCGGAAAACCUCAGUAUUCAAAGGGUAAGAUUUGAUUACAACUUUCUGGGUCUGUUUUGAUCCUUUUAUUUUUUAGGUUAGCACUUUUCCAUCUUGAAAUCAACCCGAUACUGCCAACGUUUGGUCGUAGCUCCGGCAUGCCGCUCGAGGGCGCGGUCCUGCCACCGACCCUACCGGAACGAUCCCCGCAGAGAGUGGUUAAAGCUGGCAACGACCAUGUGCGUUCCGCCAUCGACCAGCUGCUGUUCCAGCGGUUGGACAAGAUCGAGUCGAAUGUACAUCCGGCCGCCCGCGAGCGAAAGGUGAGUCCACUUAGGACCAUUGAGAUAGUUUUUGAAAGAUGUGCCUUUCGUCCACAUGAACGAAGUGGAGUGGACGCAUCUUCCGCAUUUCGACGACCGGAAAGCAACCGUCCCGGUCGCCGCAGGACGUCACCUCAUCGACGCAGCACUUCUGCACAGUCGCAUCCCGUCGAGAACGGAUUUCCGACGUACGUAUCGCCCGAGCAAGCACAAUCUUAGCAGCAACAAUAUCGAGCCAGUACCGACAACAUGUUCCAGCGAUAACAGCAGCAGCUUGGCGGUUACAUAAGGUGAACGUUAAACCGAACAUUUCGGAGUUGAUUAACCCGGCGAACAUGCUCGGAACCGCAAUGAUCAACCCGAGCCGUUCUUCGACUCGCUCACGAUGGUGUACCAAGUGACCAGGAAGCGCGGUCGGAUCAAUGAGGUUGGGGGAAGCGCACUGCGAGAUCUUCUCCGUUGACACGGAUCACCGGUUGGUGGUGCCCUGGCAGGACAUUCGCUACCUGCCGCAGGCGCUCUGCGUCGAGCCGGCCUUCUACGUUGAUGCACGUGCAACCGUUCAAGCAGCACGGCUACCGGUGGACGGACGAAGUCAAGCAGUACUUUAACUGGACGGCCAGCGUGUAGUACGUUUUAAGCGUUUGUCGAGGACCGACUGCUGGAGGAGAGCUCCUACGAGAUUGUCAUGAAGCGGCACGACAUUUGCGUCAACGGGUCGAUGGUGAAGGAGGGAUUCGCCGUGUCGAGUGGGUCCGAAUCGGCGGUCGUCGAGCGGAUCAAGGAGGUCAUUCCGUAGGAAGAUGAUGAGGGGCGGUUGUGGUUGUGAGGGUGGGACGGUCGAGCAAAACUCGGUUGAGGAAGCAGGAAUCGAACGCUGCGCAGUCAUAGUGCGACUUCGGAAGGCCAGCAGCGGACCAAGUUACGGCUGGCGGUGUCGAUUUUACGGUUGGUCGAUCCGGGUGAGUUGACGUGACGUUGCAGCACGCGACGGGGAUCGAGCGAAUGCAGAAGGAAAUCCAGAACGUGGUGGAGGACAAGGAGCUGGGUGACAAGACGGACUGGAAGAAAAGCAAGAACUGUUUGGUGUUUCCGACAAUGGUUUCGAAGCGUCCGGACAAGAAUGGGCACAUUGCAUGCGAGUACUACCGGGCGCAGGUCAUUGACGAUCUCGACGACAGCACGUUCACCGUGUUCCUGAUCGACUUAACGUUGAGGCAGAACCAUCCGGCUGCUAUUCGGAGAUUCCUGGCGUGCGUUGGUCCCAUUGAAAAUUAACAGACGUGGAGUUCGUCGGCCUUAGACACGUUCAAGGUAACGUGCGACAAGUUCAAGCGCUUCUCCAUCUCGCUGCACGGACCCAGCGUUCAAGGCGCCCUCCCCGUCAUUCUGUAGGGCCUGACCGCGUAAAAUGUCAAGGCGUCGUCUCCGGCUUGGUCAGUACGGCUAAGUCCACCUCAAGGAGAAGUUUAAGCCCCUGGCGGAGACGGCCUCCAUCGCAGAAGAACUCCAGCAUUACCAUGAAUCCUUUGCCAAGAAGGAUUGACGUGGACGUGGACAUGAAGGAUGAAAAACCUGAUCCUCAGCAGUAGGAAGACGACAGCCUGACGCACUUGUGCGGAACCUACCAGGACGACAUUACGGACGAGCACACGCCAAUCGACCGAUGGCUCCCAGCCAAACCCAUCGAAAAGACCAUCUUCGUAGGCAAACCCGGCUACGUGGACAACAAGGCCUCAUCUACCUGGAGCAGGAACCGGUGGUGAACGCCCUGCGUAAGGUAAUCAACGCGAAGUUCGCCGACAGCAGCGCAACCUACAAGUUCUACUCGGACAACGAACCGUGCAUAGCCAAGUUCCACCAGGACAACAAGUUCUACCGCGCGAUCGUCCGCAAAGCCAUCAGCUGUCGCCGCUACAAGGUCCAGUUCAUCGACUAUGGCAACAUCGAAGAGGUGGAUAUUGCAGAUCUGCGCAAGAACGUCAACUGCGGGCGCGUCCCCAUCCAGAUGAACAGCUACCGCCUCACGAACGUCGCCCCAAAUAAGGCAACACCUGGCCGACGGAAGUCCUCGACACGCUGCAUUCACUAAUCGUUGACAACCAGUGCCUAAUCCGCGUUGACAUGGACGCGGACGCGGCCGGCGUUGUUUUCCUAGAGUGCAGGAACGCGAUUUGCGUGAGCACCGAACCAUCCCGUCCAGUCGAAUGAGGUGUUUGAUUCAAUCUGCGAUGAUGAGUAGACCGACGCGAUCAAAACGACAGACGACGCCAACGACAAGGAAUACCCGGUAGCUUCGGAGAACUAAUCCGAUGCGGGACAAUUCGGGAGCAAGGCAGGUAUGAGUUGGUUUAGUUCUUAUGAAUGUUUUUCAAUAUUUUCUGUUACUUUCAGACUGGGGACACUACAAGCAGUUUUUAAGUGCCGUUGGCGAGACCAGAACUAAGACAGAAAUGCUAGAGCUCACAUACGGAACGUCGCAAGGUACUUGCUUGUGGCGCUCUCGUUCCAUAUUAGGAUCUUAAACCACCGAGCAUGCCAGCGCAACUCAACCUCUUUUGCUGAGCUUGCUCCGGUCAGCGUCCACGGCAGGACCAAGCUGACAACGUAUUUCAACCUGAUGACGUACACGUUGAUGGACUACACCUCCGCGUCUUCUGGGAGCUAUCAACCCGCAGCCCUUAGAAUCGUCCGUUCCGACGCGACCACAACAAGCAGUCGCUGCUGGAACCUGGUACCUGGCCAUGAUCGACUGCCCUGAACACGCGCUCCUCGGGGGCAACCUUCAGGAAGUUAAUUACUUAGUUGCCCGAAACCAAACCAGGUUUUCGACUUUCUGGACCCAACAGUACCGACUAUGACAACCGGAGCCAUGCUGCCGUGGGCUGCGGAUGUGCUGCCAGCACAGUAGAUUCCUUCCGCGUCAAAUGGCCGUCCCCACCAGAAUCUGCACUGUGCCUUUCAUCAAAUUAUCCGGCGACGAACCAGAUGGCUCAACUUCAAAAGCGUAUAGGAGGCGUGCGUCUCCUGAUUAGUUAAAAUUUCUAGCACUAAUGUUUUUUUUUUCAAAAUAAACGUUUUAAAAUUUAAUCUUUUUUAAAAUGAAAACUCAAGAAAACAACUUUUGUCUAUUCAACAACAGGUGGCAGCACAAUAUUCCCGCUAUUCAAGAGCUUUCCAUUUUUGCCACCAGGGGGCUACUGCCGAAUCAAAAUUUACACAUUGGAUGCGUUUCUGCACAGAAUCCAGCCAAUGUGUUCCGGGCUGUUAACACGGCGCGAUGGUUCAAGCGUGGUCUUGUGCGAAAAUGUUUGGAUUCUACACUUUUUGGUGUAAUUCUUAUCUUCAG